rnacentral:rRNA from 1 species
GACGAACGCUGGCGGCGUGCUUAACACAUGCAAGUCGAACGGAAAGGCCCUGCUUGCAGGGUACUCGAGUGGUGAACGGGUGAGUAACACGUGGGUGAUCUGCCCUGCACUUCGGGAUAAGCUUGGGAAACUGGGUCUAAUACCGGAUAGGAGCCAUCUUUAGUGUGGUGGUUGGAAAGUUGUUUCGGUGUAGGAUGAGCUCGCGGCCUAUCAGCUUGGUGGUGGGGUAAUGGCCUACCAAGGCGGCGACGGGUAGCCGGCCUGAGAGGGUGUACGGCCACAUUGGGACGGAGCUACGGCCCAGACUCCUACGGGAGGCAGCAGUGGGGAAUAUUGCACAAUGGGCGCAAGCCUGAUGCAGCGACGCCGCGUGGGGGAUGAAGGCCUUCGGGUUGUAAACUCCUUUCGCUAGGGACGAAGCGUUGUUGUGACGGUACCUAGAUAAGAAGCACCGGCUAACUACGUG